AACGAACGCUGGCGGCAGGCUUAACACAUGCAAGUCGAACGCCCCGCAAGGGGAGUGGCAGACGGGUGAGUAACACGUGGGGAUCUGCCCAAUGGUACGGAAUAAUUCCGGGAAACUGGGACUAAUACCGUAUGUGCCCGCAAGGGGAAAGAUUUAUCGCCAUUGGAUGAACCCGCGUCGGAUGAGCUAGUUGGUGAGGUAAAGGCUCACCAAGGCGACGAUCCGUAGCUGGUCUGAGAGGAUGAUCAGCCACACUGGGACUGAGACACGGCCCAGACUCCUACGGGAGGCAGCAGUGGGGAAUAUUGGACAAUGGGCGCAAGCCUGAUCCAGCCAUGCCGCGUGAGUGAUGAAGGCCUUAGGGUUGUAAAGCUCUUUCGCCGACGAAGAUAAUGACGGUAGUCGGAGAAGAAGCCCCGGCUAACUUCGUGCCAGCCGCCGCGGUAACAC
rnacentral:rRNA from 1 species